UACGAAGGGGGCUAGCGUUGCUCGGAAUGACUGGGCGUAAAGGGCGCGUAGGCGGAUGGCACAGUCAGAUGUGAAAUUCCCGGGCUUAACCUGGGGGCUGCAUUUGAUACGUGUUGUCUUGAGUUCGGAAGAGGGUCGUGGAAUUCCCAGUGUAGAGGUGAAAUUCGUAGAUAUUCGCAAGAACACCAGUGGCGAAGGCGGCUCACUGGCCCGGUACUGACGCUGAGGUGCGAAAGCGUGGGGAGCAAACAGGG
rnacentral:rRNA from 1 species